rnacentral:rRNA from 1 species
AUUGAACGCUGGCGGCAGGCCUAACACAUGCAAGUCGAGCGGAUGAAGGGAGCUUGCUCCUGGAUUCAGCGGCGGACGGGUGAGUAAUGCCUAGGAAUCUGCCUGGUAGUGGGGGAUAACGUCCGGAAACGGGCGCUAAUACCGCAUACGUCCUGAGGGAGAAAGUGGGGGAUCUUCGGACCUCACGCUAUCAGAUGAGCCUAGGUCGGAUUAGCUAGUUGGUGGGGUAAAGGCCUACCAAGGCGACGAUCCGUAACUGGUCUGAGAGGAUGAUCAGUCACACUGGAACUGAGACACGGUCCAGACUCCUACGGGAGGAAGCAGUGGGGAAUAUUGGACAAUGGGCGAAAGCCUGAUCCAGCCAUACCGCGUGUGUGCAGAAGGUCUUCGGAUUGUAAAGCACUUUAAGUUGGGAGGAAGGGCAGUACGUUAAUCCCUUGCUGUUUUGACGUUACCAACAGAAUAAGCACCGGCUAACUUCGUG